UACGUAGGGGUGCAAGCGUUUAAUCGGAAUUACUGGGCGUAAAGCGUGCGCAGGCGGCUAUGCAAGACAGAUGUGAAAUCCCCGGGCUCAACCUGGGAACUGCAUUUGUGACUGCAUGGCUAGAGUACGGUAGAGGGGGAUGGAAUUCCGCGUGUAGCAGUGAAAUGCGUAGAUAUGCGGAGGAACACCGAUGGCGAAGGCAAUCCCCUGGACCUGUACUGACGCUCAUGCACGAAAGCGUGGGGAGCAAACAGGG
rnacentral:rRNA from 1 species